rnacentral:snRNA from 1 species
GUGCUCGCUUUGGCAGCACAUAUACUAAAAUUGAAACGAUGUAGAGAAGAUUAGCAUGGCCCUGCACAAGGAUGACAUGCAAAUUUGUGAAGGUUUCCAUAUUUUU